rnacentral:rRNA from 1 species
UACGUAGGGUGCAAGCGUUAAUCGGAAUCAUUGGGCGUAAAGAGCGCGUAGGCGGCCAGAUAAGUCCGGUGUGAAAGUCACAGGCUCAACCUGUGAAUGCCGCUGGAAACUGUCUGGCUAGAGUCCGGAAGGGGCGAGUGGAAUUCCUGGGUGUAGCGGUGAAAUGCGCAGAUAUCAGGAGGAACACCAUGGCGAAGGCAGCUCGCUGGAACGGUACUGACGCUGUGGCGCGAAAGCGUGGGGAGCGAACAGG